rnacentral:rRNA from 1 species
UGGGGAAUACUGCGCAAUGGGGGAAACCCUGACGCAGCGACGCCGCGUGAGCGAUGAAGGCCUUAGGGUUGUAAAGCUCUGUUUUAAGGGACGAAUGUUACGGGGAGUAAUAUGCCCUGUAAAUGACGGUACCUUAAGAGGAAGCCCCGGCUAACUACGUGCCAGCAGCCGCGGUAAGACGUAGGGGGCGAGCGUUGUCCGGAAUUACUGGGCGUAAAGAGCACGUAGGCGGGACUUUAAGUCAGGUGUGAAAGACCGGGGCUCAACCUCGGGGUGGCACUAGAAACUGGGGUUCUUGAGGGCAGGAGAGGAAAGUAGAAUUCCUGGUGUAGCGGUGAAAUGCGUAGAAAUCAGGAGGAAUACCAGUGGCGAAGGCGACUUUCUGGACUGACCCUGACGCUGAGGUGCGAAAGCGUGGUUAGCAAACAG